ensembl:lncRNA
CCAGAAGAGUGGAGGCUGUUAUAGCAGCAAAGGGGGGUCCAACUCCAUAUUAAAGCCUUCCCAGAAGAGUGGAGGCUGUUAUAGCAGCAAAGGGGGGUCCAACUCCAUAUUAAUGCCUUCCCAGAAGAGUGGAGGCUGUUAUAGCAGCAAAGGAGGGGUCCAACUCCAUAUUCAUGACUUCCCAGAAGAGUGGAGGCUGUUAUAGCAGCAAAGUGGGGGUAGCCAACAACUCCAUAUUAAUGACUUCCCAGAAGAGUGGAGGCUGUUAUAGCAGCAAAGGGGGGUCCAACUCCAUAUUAAUGACUUCCCAGAAGAGUGGAGGCUGUUAUAGCAGCAAAGGGGGGGUCCAACUCCAUAUUAAUGACUUCCCAGAAGAGUGGAGGCUGUUAUAGCAGCAGCAGGGGGGUCCAACUCCAUAUUAAUGACUUCCCAGAAGAGUGGAGGCUGUUAUAGCAGCAGAAGAGGGGGUCCAACUCCAUAUUAAUGCCUUCCCAGAAGAGUGGAGGCUGUUAUAGCAGCAAAGGGGGUCCAACUCCAUAUUAAUGCCUUCCCAGAAGAGUGGAGGCUGUUAUAGCAGCAAAGGGGGGACCAACUCCAUAUUAAUGCCUUCCCAGAAGAGUGGAGGCUGUUAUAGCAGCAAAGGGGGGUCCAACUCCAUAUUAAAGCCCAUGAUCUUGGAAUGAGAUGUUGGACGUGCAGGUGUCCACAUAUUUUUGGUCAUGUAAUGUAUCAUCAAG